rnacentral:rRNA from 1 species
UACAGAGGUCUCAAGCGUUGUUCGGAUUCAUUGGGCGUAAAGGGUGCGCAGGCUGUGUGGUAAGUCGGGUGUGAAAUUUAGAGGCUCAACCUCUAAACUGCAUUCGAUACUGCCAUGCUAGAGGACUGUAGAGGAGAUUGGAAUUCACGGUGUAGCAGUGAAAUGCGUAGAUAUCGUGAGGAAGACCAGUGGCGAAGGCGAAUCUCUGGGCAGUUCCUGACGCUCAUGCACGAAGGCCAGGGGAGCAAACGGG